UACGUAGGGUGCAAGCGUUAUCCGGAAUUAUUGGGCGUAAAGAGCUCGUAGGCGGUUUGUCGCGUCUGCUGUGAAAACUGGAGGCUCAACCUCCAGCCUGCAGUGGGUACGGGCAGACUAGAGUGCGGUAGGGGAGAUUGGAAUUCCUGGUGUAGCGGUGGAAUGCGCAGAUAUCAGGAGGAACACCGAUGGCGAAGGCAGAUCUCUGGGCCGUAACUGACGCUGAGGAGCGAAAGCGUGGGGAGCGAACGGG
rnacentral:rRNA from 1 species